rnacentral:rRNA from 1 species
CAGCAGCCGCGGUAAUACGAACGUCUCAAGCGUUGUUCGGAUUUACUGGGCGUAAAGAGUCUGUAGGCUGUGUGGUAAGUCAGAUGUGAAAUCCCGGGGCUCAACCCCGGGAACUGCAUCGAUACUGCCAUACUUGAGUAUUGGAGGGGAGUCUGGAAUUCUCGGUGUAGCAGUGAAAUGCGUAGAUAUCGAGAGGAACACUAGUGGCGAAGGCGAGACUCUGGACAAUUACUGACGCUGAGAGACGAAAGCCAGGGGAGCGAAAAGGAUUAGAUACCCUUGUAGUCCUGGCAGUAAACGGUGCACGCUUGGUGUAGGAGGACUCGACCCCUUCUGUGCCGGAGCUAACGCGUUAAGCGUGCCGCCUGGGGAGUACGGUCGCAAGAUUAAAACUCAAAGAAAUUGACGGGGACCCGCACAAGCGGUGGAGCAUGUGGCUUAAUUCGAUGCAACGCGAAGAACCUUACCUGGGCUUGACAUGUUAGUCGUAGACUUAUGAAAGUUUGUCGUCACUUCGGGUGGACUAUCACAGGUGCUGCAUGGCUGUCGUCAGCUCGUGUCGUGAGAUGUUGGGUUAAGUCCCGUAACGAGCGCAACCCUUAUGAACUGUUGCCAGCGGGUAAUGCCGGGGACUCUGUUCAGACUGCCCAGAUUAACUGGGAGGAAGGAGGGGAUGACGUCAAGUCAGUAUGGCCCUUAAGCCAAGGGCUGCACACGGGCUACAAUGUCCAGUACAAUAUGAUCCGAUACCGCGAGGUGGAGGUAAUCUCUAAAACUGGGCUCAGUUCGGAUUGUAGGCUGCAACUCGCCUACAUGAAGUUGGAAUCGCUAGUAAUGGUGCAUCAGCUACGGCAUCGUGAAUACGUUCCCGGGUCUUGUACACACCGCCCGUCACAUCAUGGAAGCUACUCGCACCCGAAGUAUCCCAAAAUAGAGAGAAUUGAUGAUGGGUACGCAGGUGAACGUGGUGACUGGGAUGAAGUCGUAACAAGGUAACCGUA